UUUUGGGGUGCCAGGUUCCGGGAUCCCGGAGGUUUUGGAGUUUUGGGGUCACACGUUUUUUCGGGUGCAGGUUUCGGGGUCCCGGAGGUUUUGGACUUUCGGGGUCCCAGAGGUUUGGGAGUUUCGGGGUCCCGUAUUUUUUGGGGUCCCAGGUUUCAGGGUCCCGGAGGUUUUGGAGUUUUGGGGUGCCAGGAUUUUUGGGGUCCCAGGUUCAGGUUCCUGGAGGUUUUGGGCUGCAGUUUCGGGGUCCCAGAGGUUUUGGAGUUUCAGGGUCCCUUGUUUUUUGGGGUCCCAUGUUUUUUGGGUGCAGGUUUCGGGGUCCCAUGUUUUUUGGGGUGCCACGUUUCAGGGUCGCGGAGGUUUUGGAGUUUCAGGAUCCCGGAGGUUUUUGGGCCGCAGUUUUGGGGUCCCGGAGGUUUUGGAGUUCCAGGGUCCCGUGUUUUUUGGGGUCCCAUGUUUUUUGGGGUGCCAGGUUUUUUCGGGGUGCCAGGUUUCGGGGUGCCAGGUAUUUUGGGGUGCCAGGUUUUGGGGUCCCAGAGGUUUUUGGGCCACGGUUUCAUUGGCCCGGGGGUUUUGGGGGCGGCGGUUUCAGGGUCCUGGAGAUUUUGGAGUUCCGGGGUCCCGUGUUUUUUGGGGUCCCAUGUUUUUUGGGGUGCCAGGUUUUUUUGGGGUGCCAGGUUUUGGGAUGCCAGGUAUUUUGGGGUGCCAGGUUUUGGGGUCCUGGAGGUUUUUGGGCCCCGGUUUCGUGUUCCCAGGGUUCUGGGGUCAGCAGUUUCAGGGUCCCGGAGAUUUUGGAGUUCCGGGGUCCCGUGUUUUUUGGGGUCCCAUGUUUUUUGGGGUCCCAUGCUUUAUGGGGUGCCAGGUUUUUUGGGGUCCCAUGUUUUUUGGGGUGCCAUGUUUUUCGGGGUGCCAGGUUUUGGGGUGCCAGGUAUUUUGGGGUGCCAGGUUUUGGGGUCCUGGAGGUUUUUGGGCUGUGGUUUCGUGUUCCCAGGGUUUUGGGGUCGGCAGUUUCAGGGUCCCGGAGAUUUUGGAGUUCCAGGGUCCCGUAUUUUUUGGGGUCCCAUGUUUUUUGGGGUGCCAGGUUUUUUCGGGGUGCCAGGUUUUGGGGUGCCAGGUAUUUUGGGGUGCCAGGUAUUUUGGGGUGCCAGGUUUUGGGGUCCCAGAGGUUUUUGGGCCACGGUUUCAUUGGCCCGGGGGUUUUGGGGUCGGCAGUUUCAGGGUCCUGGAGAUUUUGGAGUUCCGGGGUCCCGUGUUUUUUUGGAGUCCCGUGUUUUUUGGGGUCCCAUGUUUUUUGGGGUGCCAUGUUUUUCGGGGUGCCAGGUUUCGGGGUGCCAGGUGUUUUGGGGUGCAGGUUUCGGGGGGCUCAGCAGCGCCCGGCCUUGGCGUCGCCGAUGGCGCCCCAGACGUCGAAGACGAACUCGUCGGGGAAGGCG
rnacentral:lncRNA from 1 species